GACGAACGCUGGCGGCGUGCCUAAUACAUGCAAGUCGAGCGGACGAUUCGAAAGCUUGCUUUUUAAUCGUUAGCGGCGGACGGGUGAGUAACACGUGGGCAACCUGCCCUGUAGACGGGGAUAACACCGAGAAAUCGGUUCUAAUACCGGAUAACACGAAAUGUCGCAUGACGUGUUGGUGAAAUGCGGCACAAGCUGCCGCUACCGGAUGUGCCCGGGGCGUAUUAGGUAGGUGGUGAGGUAAAGGCUCACCAAGGCGACGAUGCGGAGCCGACCUGAGGGGGUGAUCGGCGACACUGGGACUGAGACACGGCCCAGACUCCUACGGGAGGCAGCAGUAGGGAAUCUUCCGCAAUGGACGAAAGUCUGACGGAGCAACGCCGCGUGAGCGAAGAAGGCCUUCGGGUCGUAAAGCUCUGUUGUUAGGGAAGAACAAGUAACGUAGUAACUGACGUUACUAUGACGGUACCUAACGAGAAAGCCACGGCUAACUACGUG
rnacentral:rRNA from 1 species